GAAUUUUGGACAAUGGGCGAAAGCCUGCUCCAGCAAUGCCGCGUGCAGGAUGAAGGCCUUCGGGUUGUAAACUGCUUUUGUACGGAACGAAAAGCUUUGGGUUAAGACCCUGUAGUCAGGACCGUACCGUCAGACUAAGCCCCGGCGAACCACGUGCCAGCCGCCGCGGUAAUACGUAGGGUGCAAUCGUUAAUCGGAAUUACUGGGCGUAAAGCGGGCGCAGGCGGUUUUGUAAGACAGAGGUGAAAUCCCCGGGCUCAACCUGGGAACUGCCUUUGUGACUGCAAGGCUAGAGUACGGCAGAGGGGGGUGGAAUUCCGCGUGUAGCAGUGAAAUGCGUAGAUAUGCGGAGGAACACCGAUGGCGAAGGCAACCCCCUGCGCCUGUACUGACGCUCAUGCACGAAAGCGUGGGGAGCAAAC
rnacentral:rRNA from 1 species